rnacentral:tRNA from 1 species
GGGGCCGUAGUCUAGCCAGGGAUGACGACAGUCGUACCGGCAAACGGUGCAAGCCGUUAAGGGCUCCAGAAAUAAGCAAGGGUUUGCUGACCAUACUCUGGGAUGACGAGAUUCUGGAGCGAGGAGAAACCCGUAGAGGCAGAAAAUGAUCUGUUUCGGGUAAAGGUCGUCGGUUCAACUCCGGCCGGCCCCACCA